rnacentral:rRNA from 1 species
UACGUAGGGGGCAAGCGUUGUCCGGAAUCACUGGGCGUAAAGCGCGCGCAGGCGGUCAUCUACGUCUGGGGUGAAAGCCCGGAGCUCAACUCCGGGACUGCCUUGGAUACGGGAUGACUUGAGGAUCGGAGAGGCAAGGGGAAUUCCACGUGUAGCGGUGAAAUGCGUAGAGAUGUGGAGGAACACCGAUGGCGAAGGCAGCCUCCUGGGCCAGCACUGACGCUCAUGCACGAAAGCGUGGGGAGCAAACAGG